GACGAACGCUGGCGGCGUGCUUAACACAUGCAAGUCGAACGGAAAGGCCCUGCUUUUGUGGGGUGCUCGAGUGGCGAACGGGUGAGUAACACGUGAGUAACCUGCCCUUGACUGUGGGAUAACUUCAGGAAACUGGGGCUAAUACCGGAUAGGAGCUCUUGCUGCAUGGUGGGGGUUGGAAAGGUUCGGCGGUUGGGGAUGGACUCGCGGCUUAUCAGCUUGUUGGUGGGGUAGUGGCUUACCAAGGCUUUGACGGGUAGCCGGCCUGAGAGGGUGACCGGCCACAUUGGGACUGAGAUACGGCCCAGACUCCUACGGGAGGCAGCAGUGGGGAAUAUUGCACAAUGGGCGGAAGCCUGAUGCAGCAACGCCGCGUGCGGGAUGACGGCCUUCGGGUUGUAAACCGCUUUCGCCUGUGACGAAGCGUGAGUGACGGUAAUGGGUAAAGAAGCACCGGCUAACUACGUG
rnacentral:rRNA from 1 species